rnacentral:tRNA from 1 species
GGCUCGGUAGCUUAGUUGGUAAAGCACUCGUCUAGCAUACAAGAGUCCUGGGUUCAAAUCCUAGCCGAGCAC